rnacentral:rRNA from 1 species
AUUCCGGUUGAUCCUGCCGGAGGCCAUUGCUAUUGGGAUCCGAUUUAGCCAUGCUAGUUGUACGAGUUCAGACUCGUAGCGAAUAGCUCAGUAACACGUGGCCAAACUACCCUUCGGACCACGAUACCCUCGGGAAACUGAGGUUAAUAGUGGAUCACACACUCAUACUGGAAUGUCGAGUGUGUCAAACGCUCCGGCGCCGAAGGAUGUGGCUGCGGCCGAUUAGGUAGACGGUGGGGUAACGGCCCACCGUGCCAAUAAUCGGUACGGGUCAUGAGAGUGAGAACCCGGAGACGGAAUCCGAGACAAGAUUCCGGGCCCUACGGGGCGCAGCAGGCGCGAAACCUUUACACUGCACGCCAGUGCGAUAAGGGGAUCCCAAGUGCGUAGGCAUAGAGCCUACGCUUUUGUUCACCCUAGGGAGGUGACCGAAUAAGGGCUGGGCAAGACCGGUGCCAGCCGCCGCGGUAAUACCGGCAGCCCGAGUGAUGGCCGAUCUUAUUGGGCCUAAAGCGUCCGUAGCUG